GACGAACGCUGGCGGCGUGCUUAACACAUGCAAGUCGAACGGAAAGGCCCUGCUUGCAGGGUGCUCGAGUGGCGAACGGGUGAGUAACACGUGGGUGAUCUCCCCCUUACUUUGGGAUAAGCCUGGGAAACUGGGUCUAAUACUGGAUAGGACCAUGCUGUAGGUGGUGUGGUGGAAAGAUUAGUUUCGGUAAGGGAUGAGCUCGCGGCCUAUCAGCUUGUUGGUGGGGUAAUGGCCUACCAAGGCGUCGACGGGUAGCCGGCCUGAGAGGGUGGACGGCCACAUUGGGACUGAGAUACGGCCCAGACUCCUACGGGAGGCAGCAGUGGGGAAUAUUGCACAAUGGGCGCAAGCCUGAUGCAGCGACGCCGCGUGGGGGAUGACGGCCUUCGGGUUGUAAACUCCUUUCAGCCAUGACGAAGCCCUUGUGGUGACGGUAGUGGUAGAAGAAGCACCGGCUAACUACGUG
rnacentral:rRNA from 1 species